rnacentral:lncRNA from 1 species
UGGACCUAAAGCGGAGGAGUUUGUGUUUAUAUGGUGCGGAGCGGAGUCGGAAUCGUUGCUCAUGGUGGCUGUUUUAUGGUGAUGAAGCUAGUUGUGUUUUGUUUGUCGGAAACGGUUGUAGUGCGUGAGGAUGGUGAAUAAAAAUCUGGUGGUGGAGGUUAUCUUGCAGUGGUUUAGCGGAUGCUAUAGUGUUAGCGUGAGUUGCUCGCCGGAAGCUGCUUAACGGAGGUAGACCGUUGUGUGUGAUGUUGUUGUAGUUUUCAAGAGAGAAAAGAACAUGAAGAUUAUGUGGUGACUUGAAGGAAAUUGGAAGUGCGGAGUGAUAUCUGAAGUGAGAUUUUAUUGAGGGAGUCAAUAGAGGAGGAACGAGUGGUAUACGGCAGGAGCAGGUGGCGAUGAGGGUGGAGGAUCUAAAGUGGUGGCUAGGAGUUGAUGAUGUAGUAAAAUGGUUUCACUAUUUUCUAGAGUCUAAAAGCUGGUGCAUAAAAAAAUAUGAAGGUGAGGUUUUGGGUAGUAAUUGGUGAGAGUGAGAAAAUGAGUUUCUUUUUGCAGAAAAAUCAAAAGAGAGUUUUCUUCAUUGGCGUGUUGUUGAGGAUUUUUUUUUAAGUAAUGAAAAAGUGGAUCUUCUUUUUUAUUCCAAGCGUGAGAGAGGUUCCCAGAGAGUCUUGAAAAAGUGGAUCUUCUUGUUUGGUGACAGAUAUUUUUUAUUUUUUAUUAUUAGUUAAUUUCUAUUUUUUAUUGGAUGAAUGGGAAUGAACAAGGUUUUCAAAUAUUA